rnacentral:rRNA from 1 species
CACGUAGGGCGCGAGCGUUGUCCGGAAUUAUUGGGCGUAAAGAGCUCGUAGGCGGCCUGUUGCGUCCGCUGUGAAAGCCCGGGGCUUAACCCCGGGUCGGCAGUGGAUACGGGCAGGCUAGAGUUCGGUAGGGGAGACUGGAAUUCCUGGUGUAGCGGUGAAAUGCGCAGAUAUCAGGAGGAACACCGAUGGCGAAGGCAGGUCUCUGGGCCGAUACUGACGCUGAGGAGCGAAAGCGUGGGGAGCGAACAGG